ACAGUCAUUGUUUCCAGACCCGCCGAGCUGGCUGGGGAGGCGAGGCCAGGCCCAGGGAGACCAGGAAGAGGCCCAGCUUGCAACACAGGCCCCCAGUGGCUGGGGUCGGCGCACGGGUUGCUGGGGGCAGCGGCUGCCAGCCCUGCUAGACAUGCCCAGGGUCAGGGCAGAGGCCGGGGUGGCUCACGUCCACAGCGAGGCCCCCAGGAAGAGGCUCUGAGGGCCCAGGUCCCUGGAAGACAGAGUCCUCCGAGUGCUUCUGGGAGACUCUACCCCUAGGCCCUCACCCUCCCUAGGACUCAGGAAGCUCUCUGGGUCUCUGCCUCCCUAACCACGUCCUCCACCUGACCAUCACCUAGCCCCAAGGGCUUGGGCAACUUCUGGAAGUGGCUGAGACUGGAAGGAUAUUGUCACACCUACCAGAUACCCCACGUUUAUCUCUACCACUCCCACUACAAAUUCUGAAGAACCAGGGUGCAACAGGGACCCGGGGCCUCAAGAGACGAGGAUGGGGGAACAUGACUCCAGGGCUUGGAAGGAGCCCCUCAAAACAAACUUCAGCGGCAACUUCCUACUCAACUUGGUCCUGUGACAUCUAGUGGCCAACAGGAGAAGUGCAGUGAAAUCGCUGGAUAUUGUAAGCAGGUGCAAACGCUUAGUACUUCCUGGGAUUUAAAAAAAUGCGCUGAAAUUCACAAUAGCGGAAGUAUCCAUGGAAUUCAGAAGAUGCACAUUUACAUGCAUCUUAUAAAGUCUAUAAUCCUUUAUUUUCU